rnacentral:rRNA from 1 species
UACAUAGGGGGCAAGCGUUGUUCGGAAUUACUGGGCGUAAAGGGCGCGUAGGCGGCACAGCAAGUCGGGUGUGAAAGCCCGGGGCUCAACCCCGGAAUGGCUUUCGAAACUGCUGAGCUAGAGUACAGAAGGGGCAACCGGAAUUCCCAGUGUAGCGGUGAAAUGCGUAGAUAUUGGGAAGAACACCUGAGGCGAAGGCGGGUUGCUGGGCUGAUACUGACGCUGAGGCGCGAAAGCCAGGGGAGCAAACGGG